rnacentral:rRNA from 1 species
AGUCACUGACAUUAGAUACCCCGGGUAGUCCAGGGUGUAAACGCUGCAGACUUGGUGUUGGAAGCCCUUUGGGGGCAUUCAGUGCCGGAGAGAAGUUGUUAAGUCUGCUACUUGGGGAGUACGUCCGCAAGGAUGAAACUUAAAGGAAUUGGCGGGGGAGCACCACAACGGGAGGAGCGUGCGGUUUAAUUGGAUUCAACACCGUAUAACUCACCAGGGAAGACUGUUACAUGAAGGCCGAGAUGAAGACUCUGCUAGAUUUUCAG